GGGCUCGUAGAUCAGUGGUAGAUCACCCCCCUGGCACGGGGGAGGCCGCGGGUUCAAAUCCCGCCGAGUCCA
rfam:Salinarchaeum sp. Harcht-Bsk1, complete genome.